rnacentral:rRNA from 1 species
UGUAUUUAUUAGAUAAAAAACCAACGCCCUUCGGGGCUUCUUGGUGAUUCAUGAUAACUUCACGGAUCGCAUGGCCUUGCGCCGGCGACGGUUCAUUCAAAUUUCUGCCCUAUCAACUUUCGAUGGUAAGGUAUUGGCUUACCAUGGUUUCAACGGGUAACGGGGAAUUAGGGUUCGAUUCCGGAGAGGGAGCCUGAGAAACGGCUACCACAUCCAAGGAAGGCAGCAGGCGCGCAAAUUACCCAAUCCCGACACGGGGAGGUAGUGACAAUAAAUACUGAUACAGGGCUCUUUUGGGUCUUGUAAUUGGAAUGAGUACAAUUUAAACCUCUUAACGAGGAACAAUUGGAGGGCAAGUCUGGUGCCAGCAGCCGCGGUAAUUCCAGCUCCAAUAGCGUAUAUUAAAGUUGUUGCAGUUAAAAAGCUCGUAGUUGAAACUUGGGCCUGGCUGGCAGGUCCGCCUCACCGCGUGUACUUGUCCGGCCGGGCCUUUCCUUCU